rnacentral:misc_RNA from 1 species
UCUGGGAAGUUUGGUUCUUUUUCAACUUUUUGUAGAUCUGGUAUUGGAUUUAACGACUAUCGAAGAAGGAUUUGAGAUUUGGUGAAGAAGUUUUUUUUUCUGGGAAAUGUCGCUUUUGCCUAAAAGCGACUCGAUUCACAUUCGAGAAGUUUGGAGUGAUAAUCUGGAAGAAGAGUUUGAUUUGAUUCGAGAAGUCGUUGAUGAUUAUCCGUUUAUAGCUAUGGAUACGGAGUUUCCUGGAGUUGUUCUUCGUCCGGUUGGGAAUUUUAAGAAUAGUAAUGAUUAUCAUUAUCAGACCUUGAAGGAUAACGUAGAUUUGUUGAAGUUGAUUCAGUUGGGUUUAACGUUUUCUGAUGAAGAUGGGAAUUUGCCCAAGUGUGGAACUGAUAAGUACUGCAUUUGGCAGUUUAAUUUCUGUGAUUUUAAUCCGAAUGAGGAUGUUUAUGCUAACGACUCGAUUGAGUUGUUGAGGCAAAGUGGUAUUGAUUUCAAGAAGAACAUAGAAAAUGGGAUUGAUGCUAAACGGUUCGGUGAGAUUUUGAUGUCUUCAGGGAUUGUGUUGAAUGAUAAUGUGUAUUGGGUUACAUUUCAUAGUGGUUAUGAUUUUGGUUACUUGUUGAAGAUCUUGACAUGCCAGGAUUUGCCUGAAACUCAAGAAGGUUUCUUCAAUCUGAUCAACAUGUACUUCCCUGUGCUUUAUGAUGUUAAGCAUUUGAUGAAGUUCUGCAACAGUCUUCAUGGUGGACUGAACAAGCUUGCGGAGUUGUUGGAAGUUGAGAGAGUUGGUGUCUGCCAUCAGGCCGGUUCGGAUAGCUUGCUCACAGCUUGUACUUUUAGGAAGUUGAAAGAGAAUUUCUUUAUUGGCUCACUUGAGAAGUAUGCCGGUGUCUUGUAUGGUUUAGGUGUUGUGGAGAAUGGAGUCCUCCAUUGAAGAACAAAAAAAUAAAAAUGUGUGAACUAUAGAAAGAUAGAUCCUUAGUGUUUGUGUGUGCUUAUGAUGCCACACUAAUGUAAACUUGUGAUAAGAGUGUUUGCUCUUCAUUUAUGAUACCACCCUUCUUUUGGC